GACAAGGUGAGACCACGUUCGGUGGGGUA
rnacentral:sRNA from 1 species